rnacentral:lncRNA from 1 species
AAAAGAAGUGAAAAGGAAGGGUCUUAAUUAGUAGAGAUUGAUCAUCCACAUGAAUUAAUUUGUACCAUAUCACUGUAGAAAUGAUAAUAAUGCGAUCUCCUUUGUUUCGUACUGUUCAUCUAAUUUAUAUUCAACUUAUAAUUUGUAAUAAGUUGGGCACGAGGUUAUUACUGUUUCUCUAUGGUUUAAUUUUUAUUUUACCAAAAAAUUAUAUAUAAAAUAGAACGGUAAAUUAAUUUUUUUUAAAAAAAUUACAUAAUGGCAAAGUAAAAAUUAUACUAAACCACAGCAGGACAGAGUGCAACAUUUUAAACCACAUAAUAAUAAAGUAAACUUUUUUGAAUACUAAAUAAUAAAAUUAAAAUGGGUCCGGCUACUAUACUAUUAUGAGUACGAUCGCUCUCGUACUCAUAAGUUGUUUUCGAUGAUAGAGCUUCCGAAUCGACGAUCCACACCGUUAAACGUUAUUUAUAGCAUUUAAAACUUCUAGAAAUUAAAUUUUAUAAUUUUUCGACAUCAUUUACCUUACGAUCAAGAGGUCACAAAUUUGACAAUUUUUAACGGCCGGUAUGGGAUACUUGCUAGUUUAACGGUCUAAAAGAAUCGGAAUUUAUUGAAUUUUUGAUAGAAAAUUCUAUUCACUACAUAAAUAAAGAGCAAUUACUCCGAUCUUGAAUUGAAGGAUCUGAUCAUCUUUUUUUAGAACGUCGUUCGAUUUUGACCGUUCAUUUUAUGCCCACUUGAUGGACUUUAUUAUGAAUUCGAAAAUUUACGAAAUUUAUUUUCUAGAAGUUUCAAAUACUCUAGAUCAUAUUUAACGGAGUGGAUCGUCGAUUCGAAAGCUCCAUCAUUGAAAACAACUUAUGAGUACGAGGGCUCCAAUACUCAUAAUAGUAUAAGAGCCAUGGCCAAUUAAAGUAAGCUAAAACACAUCGGGAUAAUUUGAAGUUUAAUAAAUGUUUUGUACAUAGUGGGUGGAAUCUUGCUUGUGGUUUACACUCUAUUUGGAUUGUCUUGUUUGUGGUACCAACUCAUUAAUCGUAAGAGUGAUGUGUAAGCCUGUAAGGUCGAAUUAUUGGCAUUUCAUUAUCAGCACCAUUUAUGGUUGCAAUAAUAGUAAGGGGGUGUUUCGCGUAACUUGUGAAAAUUAAUUUUGGGCUCAAAAGUAAUUUUCGGCUUAAUAAAAGCGUUUGGCAACAUCGCUUUAAAAAUCUGAUUUUGAUUUUAAGAAUUAAUUUUCUGAUUUUCGAAGUCCAGAAUUAGAAUUAGCUAAAAUCUACUACUUGAAAUCUGAUUCUAAUUUUGAAUUCAAAUUUCAAAAUUUUUAUUUUGAUUUUAGAUUCAAAGUUUAAAUUUAAUCUUAAUUUUAACUUUUAAAUUUUAAAUUUAUAUUUGAAUAUUUUUUUUCAAAAUAUAAAAUAUAAAAUAUAAAAUAUAAAAUUUUAUACUUAAAUUUUAAAUUUAAAUUUUAAUCUCAAAUUUUUAUUUUAAAAUUCAAAAUUUCAAAUUUAAGAGAAAAUCUAAAUUUUAAAAUUUUAGAAUUUAAAAUUUAAAAUUUAAAAUUAUUAGUUUUAAUUUUAAAAUUUCAAAAUUUAAAUUUUAAAAUAUAAAAUUUAAACUUGUAAAAUUAAAAUUUUUUUAAUUUAAAUUGAAAAUUUACAUUUUAUUUUUAAAAUUUUAAAUAUUUAAUUUUAAAUUUUAAAUUUUAAAGUUUAAAUUUAAAAUUUAAAAUUUUACUUAUAAUUUUAAUUUUAAAUUUUAAAUUUUAAAUUGAAAAUUUAAAUUUAUAUUUAAAAAUUUAAAAUUUAAAAUUUAAAAUUUAAAAUUUAUUUUUUAAAUUUAGAAUAUAAAUUUUAAAUUUUAAUUCAAAUUUAAAAUUUUAAUUUAAAUUCAAACUUUAAAUUAUUUUGAAAAUAAAAUUUAGUAAAAAUAUUAUUAUAUGCGAACAUUAAAAAAAAAUUUAUUAAACAGUUUUAUAAAAUCAUUUCAAAAAUAUCAUUUUUAUCUAAACUUAACAAAACGCUCUUCACCUUUUAGAUAAAAUCAAUUCUUCAAAACAAAAUUAAUUAUGCAAAAAAUACUUUUACAUAAUAUAA